rnacentral:tRNA from 1 species
UGUGGUGUAGCCCAGUGGUAGGGCACUUGCCUAGCCUGUGCAAGGUCCUGGGCUCAAUCCCUAGCUCCACAC